rnacentral:lncRNA from 1 species
CAAACCAGCAAUUAUUAAUGCUUUGUAUUGUGUACAUCAGACUAUGUAAAUUAAAAGGGAAAUCUAAAUGAAUGAUCUUAAAAUUUAUUUUUUAACACAGCCUUGGAGAAAAAUUAACAAACAUUGAACAUUCUCCAUAUUACAGAUAGCCCUGCUAGAAUCUAGGGAUUCAGAAAGAAAAGGACUGUCCUCUGUGCUUCAGGAACAUUCAAACAAAUGUCUCAGCAAGAAUGCCCUCGUCAGAAAAGGCCCUUCUAUCCCAACCUCCACAACUAACAGGGAGCUGCCUCAACUAGUAUCUGUUGGAAAUGAAGAAGAUGACAAUAUUGCAGAAAAUGAAGAUGCUGGAG